rnacentral:rRNA from 1 species
AGCAGUCGCCGCGGGAAUACGGAGGGUGCAAGCGUUAAUCGGAAUUACUGGGCGUAAAGCGUGCGUAGGCGGUUCGUUAAGUCUGUUGUGAAAGCCCCGGGCUCAACCUGGGAAUGGCAAUGGAUACUGGCGAGCUAGAGUGUGUCAGAGGAUGGUGGAAUUCCCGGUGUAGCGGUGAAAUGCGUAGAGAUCGGGAGGAACAUCAGUGGCGAAGGCGGCCAUCUGGGACAACACUGACGCUGAGGCACGAAAGCGUGGGGAGCAAACAGGAUUAGAUACCCCAGUAGUCCCUGUCUCUUAUAC